GUGGUUUUCUGAAUCUAGCUCUGUUAGAUUUCAGAAAUUCUCCUGGAGAAGGAACUGCCUUUACAGACCAGCUACUGAAGGGGAGAAGAACUCAGAACCUUACAGAAGCCUUUCUGUUGCUGUCAGCACCUCUUUAAUUGUAUAAAAUAAUGGCAACUGCUGGUAGUGAGGCACAUAAUCCUCUGGAACCUGAAAUCCCAAAGCUACAGUUUGUUCCCUUCACCAGUGCCUUGGAUGCGGGAUUCUGGCAUGAGCUGACACAGAAGAAACUCAAUGAGUAUAGAUUAGAUGAGACUCCGAAAGGUAUCAAAGGCUACUAUUAUAAUGGUGAUCCUUUUGGUCUACCAGCUCGUUUAACAUUGGAGUUUAGUGCCUUUGAUGUGAAUGCUGCCACCCCAGCACACUGCUGUCCUGCUGUUGGAACGUUAUAUAACACCAACACUUUUGAAUCUUUCAAAUCCUGUGAUAAGAAGUCACUUUUGGAAAAAGCAGCAAAUGAGAUAUGGGAGACGAUAAAAUCGGGGACUGCCCUUGAAAACCCCAUGCUCUUGAACAAAUUCCUGCUUCUGACUUUCGCAGAUUUAAAAAAGUAUCGCUUCUAUUACUGGUUUUGCUACCCUGCUCUCUGCUUCCCUGAUGGCAUACCUAUUGUUCAGCAGGCAGUCUGCCUAGGUGAAAGGUUCUCUCCAACUCAGAUUCAAGCGCUCCAGAAAGCAUAUGAUGAACUUUGCCAGAUGGAAGGAGUUACAGCCUUGCCUUACUUUUUAAUCAAGUAUAAUGACAAGUCUGUUUUGGUGUCACUGCUUAAAAACUGGAAUGAUUUUUUCCAAGAUCAAGAAGAAAAGGUGACAGUUGGAGUUUAUGAUCCCUGCAAUUUUACCCAGUAUCCAGGAUGGCCGCUGCGGAACUUACUGGUCAUGGUAGCACACAAAUGGGGUUGCCACCUCCAUUCAGUUGAAGUGCUCUGCUUCAGAGACAGGACCAUGCAAGGCGUGAGAGACCUAACACACAGCAGCAUCUUUGAAAUAAAGCUUCCACAGAUGCCAAAGAGCCCAGUAGAUUGUCCAAAAGCUGUUGGAUGGGAGAAAAACCAAAAAGGAGGCAUGGGUCCAAGAAUGGUGAAUCUCAGCGAAUGUAUGGAUCCUAAAAGGUUAGCUGAGUCAUCUGUGGAUCUUAAUCUUAAAUUGAUGUGCUGGCGGUUGGUGCCUACUCUUGACCUGGAGAAAGUUGUGUCUUCUAAGUGUCUGCUGCUAGGAGCUGGUACACUGGGUUGUUGUGUAGCCAGAACCUUAAUGGGAUGGGGAGUCAGACAGAUCACAUUUGUGGACAAUGCAAAAAUCUCCUAUUCCAACCCUGUACGGCAGCCUCUGUACGAGUUUGAAGACUGUCUUGAUGGUGGGAAGCCUAAGGCACUUGCGGCAGCAGACAGACUGCAAAAAAUAUUCCCAGGAGUGAAUGCAGAAGGAUUUAACAUGAGCAUCCCCAUGCCAGGUCACCCCGUAAAUUUUUCUGAAGUCACCAUGGAACAGGCUCGAAAGGAUGUGGCUCAUCUUGAACGUCUCAUUGAUGCUCAUGAUAUUAUUUUCCUGUUAAUGGACACUAGGGAAAGUCGCUGGCUUCCUGCUGUCGUUGCAGCCAGCAAGAGGAAGCUGGUCAUCAAUGCUGCGUUGGGAUUUGACACAUUUGUUGUGAUGAGACAUGGACUAAAGAAACCAAAGCAGCAGGAGUCUGGUGAUUCAUGUUCCAACAAUGCCUCCUGCUCUGCUGAUCUCCUGGGAUCAUCGCUCUUUUCAAACAUCCCUGGCUAUAAACUUGGCUGCUACUUCUGCAAUGAUGUUGUAGCACCGGGGGAUUCCACCAGGGAUCGGACAUUGGAUCAGCAGUGCACAGUUAGUCGACCAGGAUUAGCAAUGAUAGCCGGAGCCCUUGCAGUAGAGCUAAUGGCUUCAGUUUUACAGCAUCCAGAAGGUGGUUAUGCUGUUGCUAGCAGCAGUGAUGACAGAAUGAAUGAACCACCUACCUCUCUUGGGCUUGUGCCUCAUCAGAUUCGUGGCUUUUUAUCAAGAUUUGAUAAUGUCCUUCCUGUCAGCCUUGCAUUUGACAAGUGCACAGCCUGCUCUCCCAAAGUCCUUGACCAGUAUGAAAGAGAGGGGUUUAAUUUCCUUGCAAAAGUUUUUAAUUCCUCACAUUCCUUCUUAGAAGAUCUAACAGGUCUGACUUUAUUACAUCAGGAAACUCAAGAUGCUGAGAUUUGGGACAUGAGUGAUGAUGAAACAGUCUGAAAACCAAAUGAAUGAAGUGGAAGAUGACCUGCUUUAGGCUGCAGUGAUGUCUUUUAUCCAUCAUUUGACAAGUUAAUGAUUGCUUACACAUUUUGAUUUACAAAUAUAAACAAAUAUAAUCUACAUCUGUGCUAUGAAUGGGACAUUAUCUUGAACUAAAAUAAUAGUUCUACUGUGGAUGUAAUUCUCCCCUGCUUUUCAUUUUUAUCCUAUGCAUGAGAUAACUAUCUUGCUAGAGCAAUGUGGUUAUGUUUAAAUCCCCUUUCUAUUUUUUUUUUCAGUUUCUAAACAUAGCUUACAUAUAAAAUAUGCCACUUUAAAUAGCCUUUGAUGUUUUCAUUUGCCCCAGUUUUCAUUUUACUUGUCAAUAUAUAGGCCUAAAUAACAUUGUAUUUUUCAUGUUUCAAUGAUUUGUGGCAUUUUAUAAGUAUUUAAUACUCAGGCUAUAAGAAAAUUCCCCUAUAGAUGGGAAUUAAAUCACAUUGUUAUUUAAGGGAAUGGGGAAAAGGUAACCGAACAUCCACCUACGCAUUUUUAGUGUGUUAGAUCAUGUUGUAACAUGCUAGCCCCCCUCCUUAUUAUAAUGGAGUUGGUCUUGCAUGUGCAGAUGGGAACAGACAAAGCUUCAGAAUCUUCUUAGAGUCCUGUAAAAGACUUGAGCUUUAGCAUGAUUCCACACUGUGGAUAAAGCAUCAUUUGACAUUGCCUACCUAGUGAAGACCAAACUCUGUUUAUAUCCUGAUUAGGGACUAUCAUGCUUAUAGCAAGAUCCAUUACACAGUGAAAAUUGUUUUGAAGUUAGGUCCUUAGCUAGAUAAAAGUGUAUAAUGUAAUUGUUUUUAUAUAUAUAUAUAUAUAUAUAUAUAUAUAUAUAUAUAUAUAUAUAUAUAUAUAUAUAUAAAGGCAGUGGUUCUCCAGCUUUGUCAUUCUUAAAUCCCACCACCUAGCAUGUUCGUGGACACCAAAACAGUCCUAACUCUAAUCUUCCAUUGGAGGCAUCUGAAAUGUUCCAUUCUUGCUGGUGCACAAAAUCAUAGUUUGAGAACCACAGAGAAAAAGUAUAAUUUAUGAAACUCAAAAUUUUAAAAUAUCAAGUGUAUUACUACUCUAAAUGUAAAGAGAAAUAUAUCUAUUGUUUUGCAUCUUGAAAUAACUAAAAACAAAAAAAAAUUGUUUUAAGCCUCUUUUACAGCUUAAAUCUGGUUAUUUGCAUUGUUUCAUUCAUGAGGAAAAAUAGAAACUGCAUUAUUGUUUGUUGUCUUCCAACCAUUCUUUCCUUUGCAUAUAAAACCAUUCUGUCCUUAGUCUUAAGAAAAGGUAAAGCAAUCCAUCCAAUUAGUCAGUCUGUCAAAUGAACUUGUGUUCUUCCUCUACCUUUAAUUAAGUUCCAAGUCCCUGAAUGUAGAAGUCAAAUCAACUUGUUCAUUUGCCUGCUAAGCUGACAUACCAUUUGGGGGGAAGUUCUUUUAGGGUCAUUUUACCCAUGAGGGUCAGUUCACUCAAUUAUGAACAUAAGUGACGUUUUAAUGAAACACAGCGCCCUCUUCAUGGGAUGUCUAAAAUGUUAUCUCCUCUUAUGCAAACUUACAUUUUUUUCAAAUAACCAUAAACGAAUGUCUCAGCUAACUAAUGCCAGUGUAGUAUCAAAUAUAUUCUAUUAAUCUAGCUAUAAAGUAAGUUAUUGAGUCAUACUUAUAUACACACACACACACACAUAUCUGAUAUCUUGACUGUUUGAUCAUGAACAGUGACGCUGGGAAAUUGCAGCUUCCAUUGGUAUGCGUGGGAAAGUAUGGUCUUUCGAUGAACAUGAACUAACAAAAUACAUAUUCUAAGGUUAUUUAUAAGUCCCUGAUUCUCAUGCAUUCGAAGGAGCUGUAAUUUUUGUAGUCUGGCUGUCAUCAGACUGGAGUUUGGGCUAGGAAGUAUCAGUAUGAUGGCAGUUUGCAUAGAGAGACCAGCAUCUACAUCAUUCAUAGUUACAGAGAUUGUGAAAAGGAAAAAUCUAGUUUGAAAUUGAGCAGACUUGAUUAUCUGAAACUCCAAAAAGGGUCAUGUCGUCCCCCCCCCCCCCCCCCCCCCCAGGUUUUAUUAAUAAAAUUGAAGAUUCCCUCAAUUAUCUGAAACUAUGAUUGUCCAAAUAAAGUUGUACUGUAUUUUUAGGUAGUAAGUAUCCCUUUAACUAUUGAAGUAUAAAGAUCUAAAACUCAGGGUUAAUAUGACAUUUCCUUACCUCUGUAAUUUCAGUAACGUACAACUGUGUCAGACUGUGCUUCUUCCUGAACAUACGCUUCCCAGAUGUGUCUGAUGUUCCAAAACACUCCAGUUUGACUUGGAAAAACUUCCGUUGUCUAACUUUACUGUUUUCUUUCUCCCUGAAAACCAAAAUUGUUCUUAUUUUGCUUCUAAAAUGUUUUAAGCAUUUACUGAGGAGGGAAAUUGUGAAAACAUAUAUUCACAUGAAUGAAAACAUAUAUUAAAAUAGUAUAAGCAGCUAAGUACUGUUAUUUACUGACUUGUACACACUAGCAGCAUGGUUUUGGCAUAGCUCUCCCAUCUGCUGCUGCUGCUGCUAAAUGGAGGAAGUUGAAAUUUGAACUUCAUGCAGGGAGUGGGAGGGUUAAUUUUAUUUUUGCUGGAAUGAGCUCAUAGGCAAUGAAAGGGCAAAAUUCAUCCCUUCAUUCUACAGGCCAACAGCCCACCCUUCCUUUAGGACAUUUACGCAGUCUGGCUGGGGUGGUAGAAUGUGUAGCUUCCUCUGAGGUUGCUGUUAUUACCUCUUCACAAAACAUCUAAUGUAAACAUAGUGAGAUCAUAAGGCAGUGCAGGCAGCACCCUAGAGAGCAACUGUGCCAUCUGCACAACACAUCUGAGGCCAAAUUUAAUUCUGUUGUAACUCCACUGACUUCUGUAGAGAUUCAUCAGAUAUGAAUUUGGCCCUCGGAGAAUUAACAUCUGAAAAUUGUAGCCUAGAUCUCACUUUCAGACAUCACCAACUAAAGAUAAUUUUUUGUUGGUACCACCCUGUCAAAGAUGUAUUUGCUGGGUACAGUCAAAAUGCUAUCCUGUCUUAAUAAUACAUUAAUGAAAAGGAGAAACCUGAUAUUUUCCGUUUCAGAGUACAUUUUGGACACAACCUAUUUUAAGUUAUGGCUAAACCUACACCCAUCAGGUUAAUUCAGAGUGCUGUAAUCCCAAUUUCAUGAUUUGCUGCUGUUCGUGCACUUGCCAUAUGUGUUUGUAAUCUGUGUUUUAGGAGUGAAAUUUACCCACUAGGGCAGAUCUUCAGCCGGUAUAAACUGUCAUAGCUCCACUGAAGUUAGUGGAGAUGUGACCACUUGAACCAGCUGAGAAUCUGCCGCAUGGGACUAGCUCAGGGCCCUUCACAUGGCGACAUUGCCAUAAUAAAUAAGGGCACAAAUACAACGUGGGGACAAAUAAAAGAACCUCUUUGCACUGUGGAAAGACUCUCCGUGCCAGCUUCCAUAGGCUGGCCUGAAAAAACACAAAGGAAUGGGCCCACAGGGUCUAUGUUCACACAAAUCCAGUGGCCCCAAGAUCUAGGAUGAAAUCCUAGCUUCACUGAAAUCAAUGACAAAACUCUCAUUAACAGAAUUUUCACUCCCAGUGCACCUGUGGCAGAGGGGCUCUGGCUGCUAUCCCUGCCCAUGGGCUUAUGUGAGCUGAGGAAGGUAGGUUUCAACGCCCUCUGCUUCCUGCCUGUAUAGAGCCUGGUUACCCAUACCUCUAUGCAGGAGGGAGGGAUUUGACCCUGAGUGAACUCCAGUGCUAUAAACUGACAUAUCCUUUUUGCUGGUUUUGACACUCUUGUUCCUCUUCUUUCACUGUGCCCUUUCUAAAUAAAUCUUCUGUGUGUAAAGAUUGACUAUAUUCACCUUUCAUCUGAGAUGCAAGUACCAUUAAUGGAAUAUAGCAAUAUGUUAUAUAUUUCUUCCCCAUCCAUCCUACUUGCCUGUUAAUUUUUAAAUAACUAUUAUUGGUGUGGGGGGGGGGUUGGACAUAACAAAAAUUUAACAUACAUAGUAGAAUCCUCUUGUAGUGACAUAAUUUUUUCCCCUCACAGAAUAACUUCACUCUAGGUUUAGCUAGAAUUGCAAUUUGCACAUUGCAAUACAUUGAAAUAGUGGAUCAUAGGGCUACUUCACUUUGAAGAGUUUCCCUAUUUCCAGCUUCCCGGUGAGCUCCAUUGCACUUCCUCCUGCUCCAUCCACCACACAUCAAAGCAUGUGAGAGUGCUAAGGAAUCAAAUCCAUAGAAUGUACAAUUAGCUUUAAUUUCCUAAGGCAGAAAAGGAUCUUCAAUUACGGUUUUCUGCUCUGAAAAGUGGCACCUUCUUCUUCAACUGAUCUGCUCUUUCUGUGUCUAUAGCUUUAUGUCAGCACUAGUGACAAAGAUAAGUUUUUACUCUGGCUAACGCUGCAGCUCCACCACUACUUCAAAAAUAUGAAUUGAAUUCAGUUGUUAACCAGGUUCCAAUUUCAGAGGCAGAUUCUUCCCAUAAGGACACCUGUGCAACUCUUUUGAAGUCCAUCAAGGUGCACAGGUGUCACUGAGGGCAGAGUCUGUAUACAAUAAAAUUACUAAGAUAUGACCAAAGGCAGAUUUUGAAAUGAUAGGAUUGCUCAAUUGUAACUGAGUUCAGAAUUUGGUUAUAGAACCUCUAUUAAUGGCAAUAAUAUAUGAAAAAAUCUGUAAGAUCCCAGGAGAUAUUUCCAGAGUUGGUGAGCUUGGAAAAAACCUGACCACAUUUGCAGUGGAAUCACUGAGAUCCAUAAAGAUUGAUCAAUGGUCCAACAGAGCCUUUUUUACAUAGCCGUUUUUCAGAGUAUAGCCACGUUUUUAAGUGUUCAAACCUAAUUUAGUCUCCUCUCAGUUAUUAGGGGGACAGAAGGGAUAGGUCACAUUCUUUCAAAAAUAAAUGUGUUCCCAAUAAAAAUAUAAUUGACCUUUCUUCUCAUUCUGCCAAUAUAAAAGAGAUGUUUCUAUUCUAUAUAUAGAAAAAGAAACACAUUUCUCUAUCAUGGGUGCAAGUAGCCAUUCAGUUACCUUCCGUUGAUUCAAAGUUUGCUACACUAUAUCUUCAUGUGUUAGGAGCACCUCAGAAGGUAAAGAAGGAAUAAACACUGUGAUGUGUAUUUUUCUUGAUGCAUUAUCUGUAUUUUAAAAUCUAACAUUUUUUUUAAUGCAAUAGUUUGCUUAGAGACAAAUAAGGAGCCAUAGUCCAAGGAAAGCAAUUAAAGAAACAUGGGAAGGAUGGUAAACAAGAGCAGGCUUGCUAAGAAAUAUACUCUGCAAGACUUCCCUAGUCCAUUAUCAUUUCUGUCCAAAUCUUUUGACAAGGAUGGGAUCCUCAGCUGUUUUGUUUUUCAACAUUUUCCAACUUCAUUGCAGAGGUUAUUGUCCUUGGGGAAAAUCCUGCCAAAUGAUAAUGAAAUUUCCUGUCUAGGAGACUUCUUGCACCUUCUUCUGAAGCAUCUGGUGCUGGCCAUUGUUUGAGACAGGAUUCUGGACUUAGAUGGACCUUGCGUCUGAUCCAGUCUGGCAAUUCCUAUCUUCCUAAUCAAUGGAGACCAAAUCUAGAUGUCCCAUUCUGAUACCAGGUCUCUUUAUUUUUUCCUGCAGCUGAUCAGAAUCUCUGUGGAGGCUUAGUAGGGUUUAAAAAUACCAUGGUGCUACAUGUACGUGUGAUGCAUCUUUCCAAAUCAGUACAGGGUUUCUCUGCCUUACUUCAGGAAUUCAGCAUGAUCAUUAAAAAGAAUUGCAUAUUUAUUUUCUCAUUUGUGCAGCAUGUUCAACUACUGAAAUGAAAAUAUCAUAUUCCGUGGAGAACGCACCUUCAUCCAUUAUCCUUAGUAUUACCAACCUUUGGCCCCUUGCCAUGGACAAUGACUAAUCUUCCAAAUCUUUUUGGACUUGUUUUAAGCAUUGAGUCACUGAGACAUUGGCCCAGAUAGCUCUUGUGGACCUCUCUACUUUGUGGCAACACUAACUGCUUGACUAAGAUAGGCAUUUUAAUUGUUAUUUUAAAUAAAAUACUAAAAAUAAAGAUCCCUAAUUAAAAUAUGUUGAGUAAUCUAACAGAAAUGCCAAUAACACAUGCAUAAUGCUGUAUUGCUAAGCAAAUGUGUGAUCUUGAUUUGUAUCCUUUCUCUUCCCGUCACACUCCCUUACUCUACCUUCUGUUUUCCUCUUCUUUAGUUGUGCCAUGUCGCUGUUUAGUCUCCUAUCUUGCAAAAACUUAAUCAAGUGAUUAACUUUAACUUACCUUUGCAGGAUCAGGACCUUAGAUUAUGAGCUCUCUGGGGAAGGGGGCAAGUCCUUUGAAUUUUUUGUGAAGCACUUUGCCCGCUUUUAGGCACUAUGUAAAGAAUAAUAGGAAGAAUGAAAUCCAAUCUCGUUCUCACAGACCAGGUCAGUAAUGUUUCCUUCCCCCUCUUCCCCGCCCCCUUCUCUUGGACUUAGUAUUGUGUGAACUGUCUUAUUUAACUUUGAUUCAUGCAUCCCUGCCAAGAGUAGACAGUGCUGCAGGAAGCUAAUUGGUGUGCCUGAAGGUGCAGGAUGGCUUCUCAUUGCUCUAGUUUCCAAAUCAAACCGGUAUGGGCUGGAUGUGGGUGUGGAGGAACACAUCAGGAACUGAUCCCAGCUAAUGGAAACAUGCCUAAUGUAAGAACUGAGUGGUUCCAAAACCAGUUCAACCUUGGUGGAAAUUAACCUUUAGAUUGUGUUUUGACAGCUUGCACACUGAUGCCCAGUUACUUCACUUUUUUCCUCAGUGAUUACUGGGUUGAAGCAGUGUCCGUUCAUUGAGGGUAAAAUAUGAAUGAACGUGUGUGGGGGGGGAAAUAUUAAUAACCUACAUUUAUAUUUUAGCCACAUCCCCCUCCCAAAUUAGUGCAAAUGGAGAGUAAAGGGAUUCUCUUAAAUAGAUUUGUUUGGUUUGCAUGUCCUUUUUUAAAAAAAUUGUACAUAUUUUUAACUCUCUGAAGUCUCCCUCUUAAACAGUAGUUCUGUAGGAGUUGCCACUUCCUCAGGAAUCUAUGACUCAGAGAGUGUAUAAAUAAAAUGACAUCACUGCCAAGCUUUGUUUGUAUUGCCCAUUUCCUAAAUGGAGACUCUGUUGUUCUAACUUUAAUGCUUGCAUCAGUUGUUGUUGGUUUUUUAAAUAGUAAAAGCAUCCUUGCCAACACUGACUAAUACAUGUUCAGUGCAAUUAUCUUUUUGAAUCCUUUAAAUCACCUAUUUUGAAGUUCAUUUAAAGCAGUAGACAUCAUACUUUAAUUCAAGAUAUUAUUCAUGACGAAAAUAAUUGUAACAUACAAGAUAUUGUUGUUACAAAGUAUUCCUAAUAUACUGUCAAUGUGCAAUGGAGGAAACAGCUGAGAGUGUGCGCAUAAUUUUUUUCCAUUAUUAUUCUAACAAACAAUGAAAAGAAAAACAAUUGUGUCUUCUGAAACAACUUAUUUUUACCAUGGAAAACAGGCAAUAGGUCUCUCUGGAGGAGAAGUGUCAUCCAGUAGGUAGAGGCUUUCACUUUUUAUGUCCCAUACUUUAGCUUCCCAUUCAAAUAUUUGUAAAUAUUUCUACCCCCCUGCUCCCAAUGAGCAUGUAGCCUCAAACCACUGAAGGGUAAGAGUUAGAUCCCAAUUGUAUUUUUCCUGAAAGCAACACUUUUCAGUUAGAACUGCCUUUUAAUACACCAUUGACAUAGAUAGACCCAAAAUACAUCCUACUUCUUUGUUGGGACUCACAGGUGCACCGAGGAAAUGAGCUGUUCUCCCGUGGGAUUCCUGUCUGCUGCAUUCUUCUGAGCUCAAGGCCAAAUCUGCACUUCCUAGGCAAAAUGCCCUGUGACACCACUGCAGAAUGUGGCCAUCAGACUAUCAAGGGCAAUUUGCUCAUUGUGAAGAGUUAGAUUGCUUGUCCAGGUCAUUUUAUUCACUGCUUUCAGGAAAGAGCAUGUUGCACUGGAGUAACAUGCAGUGAUUUUUGUUGUAGAGUAAUGAAGCAGUGUUUCUUUGUUUAAACAGCAGCAAAUAAUGCUAUUCCAGGAAUAGAUGGACUUCAGUAAGGCAGAGUCUGUAGCUAUAUCCUCUGACUGUCCUCUGAUUAUGUCAGUUCUCACCAACUAGGAAGGGCUAGCCUGGUUAGAGCUUAAUAGGUGACCUCCAAAGAAAGCCCAGGUGCUCCUAGGUGGUGAUCUUUCUUCUGAGUGAGUACCUUACUCAGUACCUUACCAAACCCUGGCACAGUGUUAGGAAGAAUUGUGCUGUCACAGCAGUUAUCUUUCAGAUGAGAAACAAAACAGAGGACCUAAAAAGAUCCCCUAACACCUUCUGUAAUGUAAGGGGGAUUUGUCAAUCCUGGUGUCCUAGCCAGGUUCAUUUUGGGCAAUUUCAUUGUCUACCCGAAUUGCUGGUGCAGUUUCCCCGGUGUUCUUUGCUGUCUGUCAGACUAUCAUGUAGGGUUCCUAUGUUGUUAACAGAAAAAUAUCUUAACAAUCUUAAUUCAAACUGCUGCAUUCCACUCCAAAGGUGACUGUUUUUCAGUGAUUGUUGAAGCAAUAGUAGUAUAUUGUCAUUUGUACUGUGCUUUAGUGUCCUUUGAGAUGAUAGGUGCUAGAUAAAUGUAGUAAUCUGAUUAUAGUUUGGUCACACAGAUAUGAAAUAGUGCUACAUAUUUUCUGUUCCAAAUCAGUUGGGUAGUUUAGAUUGCUAUCAUACAGCCAGGUUAAACUCUAAUCAUACAUUUCCUUAAUUUGUACAUGAGCAUAACCUAUCUUCUUCCCAGGCAUUUAUUGCAGGGUAGUGCUCACUGGAAAUAUCUUCUCAUUCCACCCUUGGAUAAGCACCCUAGAAAGUUCACUGGAAAGGAAGAUGUGCCUUGACAAGGACAAGGAGGUUUUAUUAUGUAUUAAUGUGAGCAGAGGUUGCUCUUGCAUGUUGGGCUUCUGAGCCUCAGCAUUUGUGAUUUUAUGUACAGUAGCAUGUCAGUUUGUGGAAUGAAUGAAUGAUGUCAAUUUUGCAGUAUUAAAUCUACCAGGGAACCAGUAUAUGGAAUCCAGUCAAAAUACUAUUGCUGACGCAGUGAUGUACACCAUGCAUAACUAGUGCUUUCACAAAUCCUAGCAGUAGAGUACUCUAGUUUCUUAAGCACUGUACUGCAUUGAGUGGGAAUGCAAUUGCAUCAACCCCCUCAGAUCCAGCUUGACAGACUUAAAAUAAGCUUCUUGGAAAUUGCUUGUUCUUGUUUGUAGGGAUGAGAAGGAGAACAAGUCAAAUUAUGCUCACGUGAUAAAAUUAUGUUGUGUACAAAUAGAGUUUGCCAGUGUUGCUGUUGAUGUUCUAGCACUUACCGACAAGUGAGAGUAUCUGUUACUUUAGUCAGCUGCCUCAUAGAAUGGUAGCAGCUGUAAAUCAUGCAUAGAAUCUGAUGGGGACUAGUGUCAAGCACCUGGAUGCCUAAAAAUGACUUGGAAAUGGAGAUGGAAAUAUAUAUUAACUUGAGAUGCUGAAAAUGAAUGUGAUGUAAAUGUCAUCUGUAUCUUGCAUGUAGGAGGCAAUCAGUCUUCCCACUAUGACAAACAGUGUUGUGCAUUGUUUUUAACCAUGACCUAAUAAGAUUUAGUCAUUAUAUUGUUGUUCAGUGUUUCUGAUCUCCUGAAUGAUUGUGACUUCAGAAAAUUUCUCAAUCAAGCUAUUGUACACGGGUAUUAACAGUUUUGAGAUAAUAUGAAUUGUUCAUUUCUGUGACUUCUAAAGAUAUAUUUGUAUCCAAGGUAACUUUAUCGUCUCCAAAAGCUAUUACAGAGUUGGGGAGCCAGCAUGGCCCAAUGGAUAAGACACUGAACUGUGAGUAAGAGACUCUGCCUCCUGUUCCUGAUGCUGCCACUGACCUGCAGGCAAGUCACUUCACAUCACUGUUUCCCCAUCCAUUCUUUUUCUGUCUUGGGUUUUUAACUUGUAAGUUCUUUGGGGAAGAUACUGUCUCUCACUAUGAUUUUUAUAGAGUGCCUAGCACAAUGGUCCCCCAAUCUUUGUUGGGACAUCUAGACAUUACUGUAAUAUAAAUAAUAAUAGUAUAAAUAUCUCAUCUCUAACACAAGUCUAUUAAUGCCUUUUAAUUCACUUAUUUUGGCCAAGAUUUUCCAAAGUGACUAAUGAUAUUAGCCGUCUCAAUUUGUGAAUUCCCAACUUGAGACACCUUACAGGGUCUUGAUUUUCAGAAAGUGCUGCUGAGCACUCACCUAACGAAAACCAGCCUUCUUAAAAGGUGUCUCAAGUUGGGCACCUAAAAUCACUAGCCACUUUUGAAAAUCCUUGGCCUUCUAUUUUAUGUAGGGUGACCAGAUGUUCCGAUUUUAUAGGGACUGUCCCGAUAUUUGGGGCUUUGUCUUAUAUAGGUGCCAGUUACUCGCCCCCACCCCCCCGUCCUGAUUUUUCACCCUUGCUAUCUGGUCACCAUAAUUUUAUGGCUCAAAGAGGAGCAUGAUCUCAGAUUUGAAGACAGUCUUACCAUUUAGUAUGUAUUUUAAAAAUUGCAGUCUAUGUUUAAAAGAAGAUUGAAUAAAUGAAUCUACUGUUAACUUUUAAUAUUGAUUCUUGGUUUGUAUUGCCGUUUGUAUUGCUUGAGGUGUUCUAUUCUCUGGAUGAUGCUCUUUCUGGAGUGGUCAGGGAGCUACAAGUAACUAAUCAACUGAAAAACUGAGGAGCUGUAAUAGAAUUUUUGCUAGCCCUGAGUGUGUAAAAGUGCCACAAUGUAGACUGUCAUGUUGCUCAUCCAGGUUAUAUUUCCUACCAUCGUCAUCUUUAAAAUCGCUGAGUGUGUUGAACCUCUUAAAUGAUUGGGCCAAACUCAUCUCAAGGGUAAGUUGCUUCAACUCCCAUUAAAGUCUUUCGGAUAAAUUAAUUGAGGGUGUAAAUGUAAAUGUAACUUGCUCCAAUUUGGCAUUCACGUGAAGAACUAAUGUAUUUUCCAUGGCAAGGGGGCAGAAAGACUGCAGUGGGAAAGAUAACUAACAGGAGCUUAUAACAUCAAUCUCUCUUUCACAUGCCACACGUUAUUCCUACUCUGACUUCUGUUUCUUUUGCCACCUCUGCAUACACCUUACACUCAUUUUCCAUAGCGAGUGAAUGCCAAAUUGGUGCAAGUUACACCAAUUCAACACUUAUAUAUAUAUUUGACCCACUGAUAUCUCAUAUGUAACUUGCUUUGAAUUUAAAGCCACCAGUGAAUUUGGACCACUGGCCAAAUCGAUCCAUCUCCACUGACUUCAGUGGACUUAAGCCAAGGAUGAAUUUGGCCUAUGUUUUUUGAACAUGGGGGAAAUGUGUGGAGGUUUGCUGGAAAACGGUGCUUUUCAAACAAAGAAAUGCCCUUUCUAGCUAUUUUGGUCUGUGUUAGAGUUUUGAAACACUGUGCCCAGGAAAAAUGAACAGCCAAAGAAACCCUAUCUACAUAGAUCAGGGAAAGUGUUAGAACCUUGGAAGCAGCAACCUUGUGAGCCUGCCUGCUGUUAGCACAGUUUGCACAAACAUUAGAUGUUGUCUGCUCACAGAGAUUGAUCUGGUCUCACUGUAAAUCUGACAAAGAGAAGACAACUGAACUCGAGUCAAAGGUUUGAUUCUCAGAGUGAAAUCCUGGCCCCAUUAGCCAGGGUUUCAACUUCAGUAUCUAUAACCAAGCUAUGAAUUUUCACCAUCAAGUAAUUCAAAAUGGACUUGGAGAAAAUCUUGGCAUGGGGCUUCUCUUUAGGGUUCUUGUCCCUUCAAGUGAAAGAGCUGGGUCUCUCAGCAGGAGAAAGCUGGCAUGUUGACUUUGACAGUGACAAAGCAGAAGGACUAAGUAGCAAGAACAGAUGAAAACUGGUAUUUUCAAUGUAUUUUGGUGUUCCCCUUCUUUGUGGUUGAUCCAGAGGCCAGUACUUCCUCUCACCAAACAUAAACAUGCUUCCAAAACACCUGUAUCAAAUAUGUCUCUCCUCUGCUGCAAGUCAAAACAUCAAUUCUUUUUAUAUACCUAAAAUCUAAAUGAGCAACUUCAUAAAUUCCUGAAAGAUACAUUUGGCUUGUGGUAACUAUAAACAGUCUAUCACCUAACACAGCAUACAAGGAUCUAGUGCUUACAUUCGGAAAUUCACAUUCAUCAUCCUCACUUAACCUUUUCUCAGUCAGUCAGAGUUUUUUUUUAUAUAACUAUAUCAUUCUACAUUGUAUUUAUAUGAGGGAGAGAAUAAUAGUCCUUGAGUAAUGAUAUGUUGAAUGAUUGUUAGAUAAUUAACUACAAAGGUGUAAAUAAGGUGUGAUCAGCUGUAAUAUGUUGGAAUUCUUCAGAUUUUAUAGCAUAGCUGAUGGCUAAAUGUCCCCCAGUUAACCUUGUGAAAAAAAGAAAUAUGGAAGAAAUUGAUCUUCAUAAAAAUAUGCCUGAAAACAAAAUGGCCACUUAUUUGCCAAAGCAGUAAGGGGAACAACUUCUUUGAGUGAUGGUCCUGUCAGGGUUCCCUCCCCACUCUGAACUCUGGGGUAGAAAUGUGGGGACCCGCAUGAAAGACCCCGUAAGCUUAUUUCUACAAGCUUAGGUUAAAAAAUUCCCUAAGGCACAAAUUCUUCCUUGUCCUUGGAUGAGUGCUGCUGCCACCACCAAGUGAGUUAGACAAAGGUUCAGGAAAAGGAUCACCUGGAGUUCCUGUUUCCCCAAAAUAUCCCCCCAAGCUCCUUCACCCCCUUUCCUGGGGUGGCUUAAGAAUAAUCUACCAACCAGAUAGGUAAACAAGGUGAGCACAGACCAGCCCCUUGGGUUUUUAGGACACUAAAAACCAAUCAGAUUCUUUAAAAUAAAUAAAUAAAUAAAUAAAAAUUAAAAACACCAGAACUUUAUUAUAAAGAAAAAAAAGUAAAAGAAGCACUUCUGUAAAAUCAGGAUGGAAGGUAAUCUUACCGGGUAAUAAGAUUCAAAACACAGAGGAUUCCCCUCUAGGCAAAACUUCAGAGUUACAAAAACAGGGAUAAACCUUCCCUCUUAGCACAGGGAAAAUUCACAAGCUAAAACAAAAGAUACUCUAAUGCAUUUCCUUGCUAUUACUUACUAUUUCUGUAAUUUUAGAUGUAUCAUUCAGUAGGAGCUGGAUUACUUGCUUGGUCUCUCUCUGUCUCCCGAGAGAACAACAACCCAAAACAAAAACCUUCCCCCACAGAUUUGAAAGUAUCUUCUUCCCUUAUUGGUCCUUUUGGUCAGGUGCCAACCAGAUUAUCUGAGCUUCUUAACCCUUUACAGGUAAAGGAGGGAUUUUAUGCUACCCUUAGCUGUAUGUGUAUGAUCGGUCACUGUUGUGUUCUACUGAGGGUUAUGUGCAUCCACCCUCAGUGGAAUAUAGAUAGGGACUACACAUCUUGAAGAACCUCCAGUUACAGGCAAGUAACCACCUCUUCUCUCAAUGUGCGCACAAGAGCUAUCCAGAUUGAAAUCCUUCACUACCAGCAGGAGGCAUGGGUCUUCAAUGUACCCACUGAGAUUAUUUCUGGUGGAAGAGGCAUAUCACCAAAGUGCCAAGCACUUCUGGAAAUAAGGCCCUUUUUGCCUUAGGUUCAGUGUAUACGAUUUACCCUAAUCAGCUACUUCUUUCCCAGAGUUAUACACCCUAAAAGACAAAACUCCUAAUAAAGCCUUUCUGACCAACAGUAUAAUCUGCCUCACAGCCUCCACCAUAAUUGGAUCCCCACUAAUCUUUGGUCUUUCUUCCCUCUUCCAGCAGAAAGACAGGAGACAUAACGAAGGGGCGGAAAGGAAAGGAAAAAAGAAAAAACAUGACACAGAGAAGAAAGAGCCAGGAGAAAGAACAUCUGGAGAGGGUCAAGAAGGACAUCAGUCAUGAGAAUCAUUAUCUUCAGUCUUUGCCCCAGACACGAGGGACAGUGGACCAGGAGAUGGCCUAGCUGAAACCAGGGGCCUCAGUUUUGGAGUGGCAGUUUCCUGUAGUGCUAGAAGAUGCAGAUUAGAUCCUUGUUGAGGAAUGGUGGGAUUUGAAACCAAAAAUAAUGACAAGAAGCAGAUUCGUCUCAGCUGAGAAUGACUGGGCCAGCCCUGGGCAGUAUCUUUUUUGCAGACACACUUCCACUACAGCCUGAGCUGAAAUUUGUCUCAGUCUCUGAAGAACGUUAUUGAACAUCAGCAGGAUAUAUAUGCUGCAUGGAAAAAUGAGGUGCAAGAAGGACAGAGGUCUAGUAGGUCUGACUCCAUCUACCAGGGAAAGAUCCCAGUUUGAUCCAUUGUUCCCUUACUCCAACCCUAGAAAAGGUGAAACAAGGCCACAAAAGAAUGGUAUAUUUACAAACACGGAGAGAAUCUUUCAGACUGAACUGUAGCAGAUAACAUGGCUCUGUGAAGAAACUUCACUAUGCGUUGUUAUGGGAAAGAGCUUCAGAAAUGAUGAGCGCUGCCAGGUUUGCUGAAGGAACUGCAAUUAAAAAGCCUAUCUUGACAGAGAGUCUAUCUCGAAAGGAAGCUCCCAGUCUACUCAUUCAAAAGGUCCCUUGAAGCUACUAUAUCAUCUGCAUCAAAAAGACAAUGGACAUGAUUCUCUGUGGAGCCCUUCAAUGCUUCUUUUCUGCAGGGAAUAGGAAUAGCUAGAAAGCAACAUGAAGUACUUCCUUCUUUCAGGUGAUCCAGCACUGCCCUGCCCUGCCCUGUAGAAUUCAGGAUCUCAUUUGAAUUCUUUGCUUUGAGCUACUUCCAGGUAACCAGACUGGGCAAAUCAGGACAUCUUCAAUCCAGUCUGCUUUGAGAAGAGUUGAAAAGGGAGGCAAAUAUACAAACCACUGUAAUUUCCCACUGAGGGCUCUACAAAGAAGAGAAAAUGCAUAGGAUUACGAUAGUAAGAAACCUACAGUGUCCAAUGGGAUCUUGCAAACUGCAGUGCAGAAAUCCAAGGUAGCUGUAUGAACCAUGUAUGACACAAUCCUUCAAUAGAAGAACAGGAGUGGCAGCCUGCCCUCUGAAGUUUCUUGCUUUGGUCUCAAACUUAACAUUUGAGAAGGUAUUUGUAUGUGCAGAGUUAUAAGUGUGAAGACCUGAGCCUUGUCUUAUUAUGAUAAGCCAAUUCUGAUGUAAGAGAUUAAUCUUUAAAACUGUGCUGAACAGCUGCAACAGAACUAUGACAUUUUCAUAGGCAAGUUCAUGUCCACAACAAUCCGAAUGCUGCACAUCUGAAUGAAUUGUGACUACGAGUUAGAGGGGGAAACCGUUUAAUAUUUAUACGUAUUUAUCAUGGUCAAGUCCCAAAAUAAAAAUAUUAAAUUUUAAACUGGAGUGAUCUACAGGCAGAGAGAAAACAACAGUCUCUCGCCAAUAUAUUUUAAGAUGGUAAGACUCAUAUAUAACUUUAACAGUAAAACAAAAUCUAGAUGACCCUUCCAAAGAGACCAAGAUCAUCAAUUAACACCUUCAUUUUACCACAAAAUAUACUGAUUUUUCCCUACAGUUUGCUAAGAUGGAAAACAUUUUUACAGUCACCACACUGUAAUGAUUUUACCUACUGUAUAAUGCCAGCCACAACCAUCCUCAUGCUGCAAAUACAGAGAAGAGCUAUGCACAUGAGAGUUCCUAGUAAAAGGCAGAGAACUAAAAAACUGACCAGUGUCACUUUUUUCCAACCUCUUUAGCUCUCGGUGCCCUGGGCAUUUACUCAUUUGAUUUGUUAGCUGGCAAAAAAAAAAUGCCAUGAAAAGAAAUUGCUAUCAGGCUUCCCAGCUCUCUGCAAGGACUCUUAAGGCAGAAAUGAUGCCUGCUGGGAAAAGGCUGAUGUCAGCUCUUAAGAGCUCCCUGCAAGGAUAAGGAGGCCUUUGUUUUCAGCUGAACUGUGAAAAUGAGAAAAUGCCUCCAGCCUGACAAACAAGAAACCCACACAACACAGGUCAGGCCUGAGACCUUUACUUAAAGGUACAACACCUCAUUAGUGUUAUACUUGCAUCACAACAGCCAGAUCCAUUUAAAAUUAAACAGAAGGAACCAUAACAAUAAACCAAUUUUCCCUUAAAAGAUAAUAUAAAGACGGUUACACUUCCCCUGCCACUCCAUGGAAAGGUAUGGCAUUUGCAGGCCCUACAUAAAUCAAUUUCCUAAUUACUCUCUAUAAAAUCACAGGGAUUUAGUAUAAGAAAACAGUGGCACUUUCCACUUUUAGGUUUAAAAUGAUGUAGCUCUUUAAAUUUUAUUAGAAAACAAAGCACCUUUCAAUCCAGCAAGGAUUUUAAUACCCAUAAUAUGUUACAGAAUGCUUUUAGAAGUAACAUAAUAGAGAGAUUUUUAGAGAGUAGAAAGUGUGAAAAAUAAACAAAAAAGAUUCCAAGCUUGUCAUAUUUCAUAGAAAAAGCUGCAAGACACUGGUGGAAGGGAAUCGGUUUUUCCCUUUCACCCCUACUAGUUAAUUUUAGCCAAAGAAGCAUAACAAAGUUUGGAGCUGGCUCCUACAGAGAAGUUAAUAGGUAUGAUUUAUUCCAGAUCAUAAAGCAAGUGGCAGAUAAUGGUCCUAGUACAUCCCAAUACAUUGCAAAGCUGAAAAGAAGGACAGACAUUUCAUUCUGGAAUAUCAUGUACUGAAUUUUAAAUACUCAGCUGGAAGGUCCCAGCCAUGUUUCACUUCCCAUGCAGCAGAAAAUCAGUUCCCCCGAAAACUACAACCUUUGUUAAAUUAAAUCGUUGUCUAGUGUUGGGGGAAAGGGAUUCCAUUACACAUUUUAUAGAACACAGCAGAGUUUCCAGGCUGUUUUGACUCAUUCCCUCUAUCCCAGAUGUUGAAAUAAAUAUACCUGUACAUACCAUUCAAUAAUCAAAAACCUACCUACGGGGUAUUAUUUAGUGCAAAUGGGGAGUUACACCUAAGUAGGGAGAACAUAUCUCCAGACCCAUUCCAAAAGAAUUUGCUGCCAACCUCAAGUUUCUAUCAAACUACUUCUGCAGUCCCCAGGUAUUCAGAUGGAUACAUUCCAUCUGAUGUCAAGUGAUGGGGGAUGCACCAGCACUCCUACUUAGGGCUAACGUCAAACUACGAACAAAAGUUCUACCCUUCAUAAAAUAUAUGGUACUGCUGCAGGUCUAAUCUGAUUCAGUCACAUUCACUGCCACGGUAUACUCCCAUGGCAAGGAUGAAAACAUGCCUACUUCAUGAUUUCAGCAAGCAAGUGACACAGACUGGACAAGGGUUACAAAAACAGACGGCCCAUCUAAAGUACUUUAGAAAUACAUUGUGGUUGAAAUGUCUGCAGUUGAUGCAGGGGGUGUAAUAUGCACCCACUGAACCAUCUGUGCCCAAUGGGAUUCUUCCUUGUAAUGGGUGGCAGUGUGUGUAUCAGCUGUCCUCAUGGGGUUCUGCCAUAGGAGGGUGGCUUUAUAUCUACAGCAUGGGCUCUACACAUAGGCUACCUUGGGGAUGUGUUGAAUUAACGCACCAGGAGUCCUGGCCAUGCCUUCUCCCAGGACAGAGCUGCACACACUUAGACUAGCCAUUUCAAGGAGCCUGCAGGCGCAGCCCAGGUUCCACUGGCAGACGCCUGGGAGUACAUCAGACCAAUUGUCUGUGGUUUAAAUAGGGGUUUAACACCAACUCAGAGCAGUGGAACAAUCUUAUAUAUUUUCUGUGCCACAAAAUAGAUCACUUUCCCGAAUUCCAAAACCUACAUCUUUUUCUUUUAAAUUAGUUCCAAUAGGCCUGAGCAAAACUGAAAUUUUAUAAUCCUCUUCUCUAUCUUCUUGUCUAUGUUUAAUACAAUUAAUCUUGCCAUCCAGUCUUCAAAAGGACAGAGUUUCCAUAUAACAUGAUAUUGGCAGCAACAGCAGCUAAACAUGAAUUAUUUGUUUUUCUAAAUGAAAUGCUGCCAAAUUAUCUUUUCCAGACCCUCCAAGCCAGUAAACUGUUACUGCCAAUAGGAAUCAGUACAACACUUCUUUCCCCUAAUAUACUAUGAUGUCUUUAGUGAUAAAGUAACAAAAACAAGCUUUUACUGCAGAUGCUUAAUUUUUUUUAAGUCAAAACUUUGUCUAAGCCUUUUACAAAGUAUUAUAUAAUGCAUUUAUAUUGCUAACUCAAGAUCAAACAUAAUCAGAGACAAAGAAAGAGGGAAAAUCUGGAAAUCAUUAAAGAAAUUUAACUUUUUUGUUUACAGUGCAAAAUUCAGGGAGUGUUUGUUAAUUUUUUUUAUUAGAGACAUCUGAAAUGUCUGAGUUUUGUGACAUUUGGUUCAAAGAAUUGAGUAUUAUCUGCUAGAAAUCUUUUAGUUUGAAGAUUAAAAACGAAGUGAAAGAGGG